ACUUAGGGCCUGGGAGGAAGGCACACAUAUUUAGUAGGCAAAGAAUUUAACAAACUGCUUGAAUUUGAGCCAGUCGGAGAUGGGAAACACCAGUGAGGGUUUGAGGGGAAGUGGGAGUGGGCCCCGCGGGGCAGGAGAACCAGGAGGGGAGGGUACAGGGAAAUGACCUUCUGCGCAGGGACAAUGCCAAACAAAGGCUUUGGGCUGAGGAAGGACAAGCCUCUUCCUAGGGUGACGGUGAAAAGCUUAGAGCGGAAGGAACUGGAAGCCAGGGAGAGAGCAGGGUGAAUCUGCGGGAGGCCUUGACCGCCAGACUGUGGAGGAUGGAGUUUCUCCAGGGCUCCUGCUCAGGGGGUUACCUGCCCAGGAGGCCAAGAGCCCCUGCAUCGCUGGCCUCAUACACAGCCACAUAGUCCAGCUUGCACUCGUCCUGAGCUUCCAGGCUGAAGUUGUGGAACCGCAGUUCUAGGCCGUGUCCCGUCGGCACGGAGAUGUGCCAGCAUUCCCCUCUUACUUACGGAAGAUGAUCGAGGUUCUCAGGGUUGGACUUGGGCCUCACCGUCACUCGGUUCACCUCGUUGUGGAGCCCAUCCAGAAGAAAGCGAAGAAACUCCUGAGCAUCUUGCUGACUGAGUCCAAAGAAAAGAGAGGGAGCAAUACCUCUCAUUCCAAGAGCCAACCUGCUAUGGCCGGCACCCACCCCAGGGAGGACACGUCCGCAAGGCUCUUACUUAUAGCCAACGAAGCGUGGCGCAUAUCUCUGGAUCUGGGUCUUGAACUCAGAGGGGCUCACCACAUCAUUGGGGGAUGAAGUCCAUAUGGUCUGGAUUAGUUUUGCGAACUCUGUUGGAAGGAGAGGGUAGAGAGGGGGCAUGGAGGACAGGUGGGACACUUUCUGUAAGAAACUCAGACUAGAAUCCCACCAAAAAGAAGCCAAAGAAAGAAAAGUAGGAGGGAUACAUACAACACCCAACUACUAACAGUGGAGCAGGACAAGGGUCCAGGCCGGGCUCCUCACCUUCCAUGAGGGCCGUGUGUACAUUGCUGCUGUGGCUGAGGUCCCGCAUAUAGAGCCUCUGGAGGCAGUAAUCCCUCAGCUCCCGGGUGUUGCUCAGGCACUGCAGAAUGGAGUUCAUGAAGCACUGUGGAGAGCAUCCACUCAGUGAGACAGAGCCCUGUCUGGCCCGUCUACUCACUUAGUCCCAGAGGCCCUCCGGUUCAUCUACCCCAGAGACGAACGCUCCCACAGCCUCAAGUUCCUCUUUUCGUAAGGGAAAGGGGCGCCGUGAGGCUAAUUCCCGCUGCCGGCCCAGGUGACGUAACUGGUUAUUGACUGCAGAGGUGUACAAGAGGGUGUGGGUGAGCUGGACAGAAGUGGGUGGGAAGUGAUGGAUGUCCUUCAGGAGAAGGAUCCGGGAAAGUAGCAGACAGUGAAGAGGGCGACUCUCCUUAGCAGUGCUUCCUGCUGGGGGCCGGCAUUGAGGCAGAGCCCCAGCCAUUCUGUAAAACCCACCAGCCAGGACGGGCAGGUAUCAACUGGCUUCUAGAGGAUAGGGAAUCAGCUGGAGCCAGGAGGGAACUCUGGUCAGAUGGUCCCACUGGGAUAGUAGGGCUGGGAAGAGCUCACCGUGUUCCCAAGGUUUCGAAGACCAGCCAGACCCUGGGCGCUCUUAGAAUUCUGUAAGCAAAGAACACAUGGCAUAUGAGGCUGAAGGCAAAGAGGCUGGGCCUGUGCUAGGCUCGCUCAUGCACCUCUCUGCCAGCUGGAGCCAGGAGCAUCAGGCACACACAUUAUUCUCUCUUCAACACACAACACAAAUAUUCUUCAGGGCUUUCCUUUCUUUUGUUGACAUGUGUUUUCCCUGAUCUGUACAUGCCUCUUCAUUCUCUGCCAUACUGGAAGCUGGAGAUCAGAACUAGAGCUUAGGAAUUCAUGUAUUUGAUUCCAGGCUACAAGGAACUCCGGGUUCCAAAUCCGGAUGCUAUCUCAAAUGACCCACUUUUCUACCCUUAGAUGUCCAAUACACGAAGCAGCUGUCAUAACAGGCACUUCAAGGAGAUCCUGAAAUGUUCAAUGACAAAACAUCUGAAGUGAGUUUAAGAUCUUCAGCUGAGGAAAACUGAAGUUAGCCUGCCAUUCUGAAUUGCCGGAGACAGGUGGAAUUCCUUCCAGCUGAGCUCAGUUCCUAAAGACUGAUUAAAGCCUGGGAGAAUCCUCCCUGCCUGGC